GGAUUCCCCUAGUAACGGCGAGCGAACCGGGAAGAGCUCAAAUUUGAAAUCUGGCGUCCUUCGGGCGUCCGAGUUGUAAUCUAUAGAGGCGUUUUCCGUGCCGGACCGUGUCCAAGUCCCUUGGAAUAGGGUAUCAAAGAGGGUGACAAUCCCGUACUUGACACGACGACCGGUGCUCUGUGAUACGUCUUCUACGAGUCGAGUUGUUUGGGAAUGCAGCUCAAAACGGGUGGUAAACUCCAUCUAAAGCUAAAUAUUGGUGGGAGACCGAUAGCGAACAAGUACCGUGAGGGAAAGAUGAAAAGCACUUUGGAAAGAGAGUUAAACAGUAUGUGAAAUUGUUGAAAGGGAAACGAUUGAAGUCAGUCGUGUCCAUCGGAUUCAGCCGGUUCUGCCGGUCUACUUCCUUUGGACGGGUCAACAUCGGUUCUGGACGGCGGAUAAGGGCGGGAGGAAAGUAGCACCCCUCGGGGUGUGUUAUGGCCUCCUGUCGCAUACGUCGGCCGGGACCGAGGAACGCAGCUCGCCUUCAUGGCCGGGGUUCGCCCACGUACGAGCUUAGGAUGUUGACGUAAUGGCUUUAAACGA
rnacentral:rRNA from 1 species